CUCAUCUUCAUCUUCAACCCCAAUUUUUAGUUUUGUUCUUCCACCUCAGUUUUGACAAUGAAAUCAUAAGCUCUGUUCUCAAGAAAACUAGGAGACCCUUUUCCAAGCCCGUGGAUCAAAACUUUGCAGCCAUCUCAAUUUAGGGAACAUCAAGCAGUAAUGCUUUGGAAGAUGGAGUUGACGAAGCCUCUGCCUUCAAUCAUGUUAGUCCAAAUGGCACGACAGAAGCUGAAGUCAGAGGCACUGGCACUGGCAUGGCAAUCCAUUAGAUGCUGGAUCUGUGCAAAUUUUGGAGGAUUUGCAACAUGAGCAAAUGGACAAUGACUUGGUGGAUUCAGGGGAUGAAAUGGCUCAUGGUGCAUUGGUGACUUGGCUCAGUAUAAAAUCCUAUUCGAUCUGCAAUCUUCGAUUUUGAGAUUUGCUUUUGUGUUUUGGUUUGAGCUGCGGUUACAAAUUUGUGAUAUUUGAUUCGGUUAUCACAUGAGGUGGAGGUUAGUGUGUAGUGUUGGUUUUUAAAAGUAGAUCAAGCUUGGUGGUAGUUAUGGAGUUUUAGUUUGCAU